rnacentral:lncRNA from 1 species
UCUUUGCAAGAAAUGACAUGAGCAAAGUUGCUCUCAUCUAAAUUGGUGGCAAUUAUGCCAAAAGCCUUCUUUUCUCGUCUUUUGAACUCCUUAUGCUCCUUGAUGCUUGCCUCUACCCCAGGUGCCUCUUCCUCCUCACAUACAAUCUCCCAAAGAUCCAAUGACGCCAAAAGUAGCUCCAUUUUGGCCUUCCAAUGGUGAAAGUUGUCACCUUUGAACUUUUCAACCAUUCUCAAGCUAUCACCCUCAAAAGAUGCCAUCUCAAGCUACACAUAGGUCCAAAAAACUCUUGAUUUGGAGUUGUAAUGGAGAAGAUAUCACUACUCAAAGAUCGCUGAACCACAAACCCAGAAUUCGCUGUUUUGCAACUUUUUGUAAAUUAUGAGUCCAAAUCACGUCUAAAUGGUGGGGAAUGAAUUGUAAAGUAAUUCUAUGGCUCUCAUUAGUCUCCCUCACGUCACUCCACUCAAAAUGACUCACUAUCUCAUAAAACUUUCAAACACUAGUGUUACUUCAGCAAAGACACUAUCAAGGUCUUGCACAAAACUCAUAUACUCACAAAUCCAGG